rnacentral:rRNA from 1 species
AUACAGAGGGUGCGAGCGUUAAUCGGAAUUACUGGGCGUAAAGCGCGCGUAGGCGGCUACUUAAGUCAGAUGUGAAAUCCCCGGGCUCAACCUGGGAACUGCAUCUGAUACUGGGUAGCUAGAGUUUAGGAGAGGGAAGUAGAAUUUCAGGUGUAGCGGUGAAAUGCAUAGAGAUCUGAAGGAAUACCAGUGGCGAAGGCGGCUUCCUGGCCUAAAACUGACGCUGAGGUACGAAAGCGUGGGUAGCAAACAGGAUUAGAAACCCCAGUAGUCC